ensembl:lncRNA
CGCCGAAUAGUGUGCACUGUGCAGUUCAGGUGCACGUGAGCGAGGGCGAGCGCCGCGUUCCUCAAACUGGACCGUUGGACUCGACGUCAAUCAAAACCAGGACGACGACGAACGUGACGAACACAUUUCUAAAAAGAGACAGAAGAUAUCUUUCGAGGUUAUGACAGACUUCACGGGUUGGACUUCUAUCCAAGUUUGCCAGUGGUUGAAAGAUAUUGACUUGGGGGAAUUCUGUGAAAGGAUGGCGAUGAUAAAAAUCUACCAGAGAAAUUUUGUGUCUAACCACAGCACGGAGGAGAUUAUCUCUGAGUUUCCAUGUUUCAGACUGGCCAAAAUGCUCCUUUGGGAUCUGAGAGACCGUACCAACGUUGAUGUGGACCAACAGAUUCUCUCUCAGCUCUCGGUAAUGGCAUCUAAAGUCCUUCAAGUUUCACAGAGUCCCCUGAUGGAGAAGGUCAGUCGUGUGGUUGAUGACUGUGAAGAUGGCAGACUGAAAAAAGGACUACAGUUGGAAGCAGCUAUUCUGCUCUUGCCUGCACUGUUUAAGGAGGACCCGGGGUUGCUGUUUGAAGUUGAGGUUCAUUACUGAGGAGAGUGAGGACAUCUCAGUGGCACUGGGCCUCAUCCUUUGUAUAUAUUUUCUGUUUGGGAUCCAAUAUCCUAAAGGACUGAAAAAGACACUGACCUUCCUGGAGUGCGUUGUCUUAAAAAUGAAGGAUGCAGCCAGACUUCCUGUCACAAUUAAAAGAGUGUACAACUCAAUCUGUGCAUAGAGUCUCUCUCUCUCUCUCUCUCUCUCUUUUCUCUUUCUGGUGCCUAUUCCAAUUUCUAUUUUUUUUCCUUCUAUUUUUUUCUAACUCCUUUAGCCAGUGUUGUUAAUGUUAAAAAGCACGGAUUAUAUUUGCAACUAAAAGAAAUGAAUUAAACUAUUUUAAAAGUAUAAUGUAUUUUGUUUAUCAGUAAG